CUGGAAUGUUCCAUUGUUUUCAUCUUGGAGGCUGGUUCAGAUCCGCCAUUUGUGGGCCAUGCAAGCAGCCCCCAGGUACACUCUUUGGGGGAGAAGCGUCCAAGAAGGAACCUCCUAGACUGAAUCACCAUCUUCAUUCUGCAUUGGCGCUCUUUCCUUCCAGUGUUCCUGAGAUCUCAAAUAAACUUCAGCCAUGAGGCCCUUUCACCUUCUUUUCAUUCUGGUUGUUCUCUUGUUCCAUGUUGAUGCAGGAGGGAUUUGGAAGGCCUGUCACGAAAUGGGAGGCAUUUGCCUGGAACCCCGCACCUUUCAGUGCCGCUCGAAUGUCAUUCUUCCAGCCGUAUGUGCUUUCAACUAUGAGUGCUGCGAGCACAACAGACACGAUUCGCAAGAUGAGCCCUCAACUCUCGAAGAGUGACCGUUUGGUCUUUCCGUCUCGAUAAGGAUAUGGGUCUUCCGUUGGGGAGGUGGAGUCCAGCUGCACUUGUGGCGAACCUUCAACCAAUGAGAUUAAAGAUAUCAUUCAGAUGCACAUUUAAAAUGUGGCUUGGAAACCUCGU